GGCACAGCAGGGCACUGCACUGGGAAUGCUGCUCAGGAAUCCUUCACUGCUGCCUCAAGUGUUUCACUCGUGGGCUGUGUUCAUGCUCUGCUCAUGCUCUGUUCAUGCACCUUGCCCACAUAAAGGGAAGGGUUUAAUGACCUUUUCUGACAACCACACUAUAAAGGAAUUUCUUAUUCCAGGGCUGGACCUGAGCACAUGCAGCAACCCAAAACAUUGUAUUAUAAACAGGGUUUAUAAAGGGCUCUUUGUAAACUUCCUUCCCAAGAUCAUGGUCACUCAAGUUUAUGGUCCUUAUGGUGUUUCCAUAAAUGAGAUUUUGGAGCAAAUCUGACCUUUGAAGCAGUGAAACCUCAUUUUCUUUUGACCUGUGCAGGUGUCCUCUUGUUCCUUGGAGUCUUCCUCAACUGCAUAGGGAUGGGAGGGCCACAGGACUGGGAUGGCUGGGCCAGGGUGGCUCUGGGGCAGUUUUAGGAAGAUAAAAUCCUCAAGGUUCCAGGCUGAGCUGACUCAACAGAAACAAAUACAAAGGCCCCUGAGCCCCAGCGAGGCUGUGCAGGUGGGAGGACAGGGAUGUGUUGGGAUGUGGGGCACAGGAUCCCUCCCCAAGGAUGUGCAGCUGCAUUCGGGACACAAACCCACCCUUGGAAAGCUGGACAGCAAAGGUUCUUCUCAGUUAAAAACACAACUCAUAAAACAAGACAACUACCAGAUUUCCUCCUUCAGAAGUGUGGGAGCCUCAUGCCCAGUGAGUGACUGCAUUUCCCUGGACACAAAUGAAAAAUCACCUUGUGCUCAGGUAAAGAAAGUGUCAGCAUUGCCUAGAGAAGAUGCUGAGAGGAAAAAUGAGCUGGAAGGCACAUCUGCAGCUCCAGAUCACAUUUUCACUUGCUUGAGCGUGUCAGAGUAUCCGACACUGCAACGUUGGACUCUCCUUGGGCACAGAAAUCCUGACUGACAGUUCGGAAUGGAAGCAGGGAAAUACUGAACUCAUG
rnacentral:lncRNA from 1 species